GUACUGUGCAAACGUUGUUCGGAAUCACUGGGCUUAAAGGGUACGUAGGGCGGCCAGUUAAGUAGGGGGUGUGAAAUCCCCCGGGCUCAACCGGGGAACUGCGCUCUAAACUGACUGGCUUGAGUGAGAUAGGGGUGUGCGGAACUUCCAGUGGAGCGGUGAAAUGUGUUGAUAUUGGAAGGAACGCCGUUAGCGAAAGCGGCACACUGGGUCUCAACUGACGCUGAGGUACGAAAGCCAGGGUAGCGAACGGGAUUAGAUACCCCGGUAGUCCUGGCUGUAAACGUUGAGCACUAGUCGGGAGGGGCUUCGGCCUUUCCGGACGCAGCGAAAGCACUAAGUGCUCCGCCUGGGGAGUAUGGUCGCAAAGGCUGA
rnacentral:rRNA from 1 species